rnacentral:rRNA from 1 species
CCUACGGGAGGCAGCAGUAGGGAAUAUUGGGCAAUGGAGGCAACUCUGACCCAGCCAUGCCGCGUGCAGGAUGAAGGCGUUAUGCGUUGUAAACUGCUUUUAUAUAGGAAGAAAGAGUUCUUGCGAGAACAGUUGACGGUACUAUAUGAAUAAGCACCGGCUAACUCCGUGCCAGCAGCCGCGGUAAUACGGAGGGUGCAAGCGUUGUCCGGAUUUAUUGGGUUUAAAGGGUGCGUAGGCGGUUUAUUAAGUCAGUGGUGAAAGACGGUCGCUCAACGAUUGCAGUGCCGUUGAUACUGGUAGACUUGAGUGAGAUUGAGGUAGCUGGAAUGGAUAGUGUAGCGGUGAAAUGCAUAGAUAUUAUCCAGAACACCAAUUGCGUAGGCAAGUUACUAAGUCUCAACUGACGCUGAGGCACGAAAGUGUGGGUAUCAAACAGGAUUAGAUACCCUGGUAGUCCACACUGUAAACGAUGAUAACUAACUGUUGGCUUUCGGGUCAGUGGUACAGAGAAAUCGUUAAGUUAUCCCACNGGAGACGCGCGACGUAGAACGUACGAAUAGAGUUAGAGCGUGAGACGNGCGACGGACGACGACGAGGGAGGAGG